GAUGAACGCUAGCGACAGGCUUAACACAUGCAAGUCGAGGGGCAGCAAGAAUUGUAGCAAUACAAUUUGUUGGCGACCGGCGCACGGGUGAGUAACGCGUAUGCAACCUACCUAUCAGAGGGGGAUAGCCCGGUGAAAGCCGGAUUAAUACCGCAUAAAACAGGGGUCCCGCAUGGGAAUAUUUGUUAAAGAUUAAUUGCUGAUAGAUGGGCAUGCGUUCCAUUAGUUAGUUGGUGUAGGUAACGGCUCACCAAGACAUCGAUGGAUAGGGGUUCUGAGAGGAAGGUCCCCCACACUGGUACUGAGACACGGACCAGACUCCUACGGGAGGCAGCAGUGGGGAAUAUUGCACGAUGGGCGCAAGCCUGAUGCAGCCAUGCCGCGUGUGUGAAGAAGGCCUUAGGGUUGUAAAGCACUUUCAGCGGGGAGGAAGGGUAUAGGCUUAAUACGUUUAUACAUUGACGUUACCCGCAGAAGAAGCACCGGCUAACUCCGUGCCAGCAGCCGCAGUAACAC
rnacentral:rRNA from 1 species